UUGAAGAAUUAAACAAAGUUUAAUGUAAAUCGAUGUGAUACAAAGUGAAAUUCUCAUAUCCAUCUGAUUAGAAAACUUAAAACACCAAAGAGAAUUUUGAGACAGAUGUUGGGCCAAAAGAAAGAGGAGACUUACAAACUGAAUUGUUUCUUGGUUAGAUUACCGAAGGAAGAGUUUUUUUGAUAGAGUGAGGAAACAGGCAAAA